UACGUAGGUGGCGAGCGUUGUCCGGAAUUACUGGGUGUAAAGCGCGUGUAGGCGGCAGGCCAAGUCGGUGGUGAAAGCGCCCGGCUCAACUGGGCGAGGUCCAUGGAAACUGGUCAGCUGGAGGACGGUAGAGGCGAGUGGAAUUCCCGGUGUAGUGGUGAAAUGCGUAGAGAUCGGGAGGAACACCUGUGGCGAAGGCGGCUUUCUGGACGGUAACUGACGCUGAGACGCGAAAGCGUGGGGAGCAAACAGG
rnacentral:rRNA from 1 species